rnacentral:rRNA from 1 species
UACGGGGGGGGCAAGCGUUGUUCGGAAUUACUGGGCGUAAAGGGCUCGUAGGUGGCCAACUCAGUCAGACGUGAAAUCCCCAGGCUCAACUUGGGAACUGCGUCUGAUACUGGAUGGCUUGAAUUCGGGAGAGGGAUGCAGAAUUCCAGGUGUAGCGGUGAAAUGCGUAGAUAUCUGGAGGAAUACCGGUGGCGAAGGCGGCAUCCUGGACCGAUAUUGACACUGAGGAGCGAAAGCCAGGGGAGCAAACGGG